AGGGUUUGAUUCUGGCUCAGGACGAACGCUGGCGGCGUGCCUAACACAUGCAAGUCGAACGAAGCUCUGCGAUACAAGACUUCGGUCAAGUUGAACGGAUGACUUAGUGGCGGACGGGUGAGUAACGCGUGAGGAACCUGCCUUUCAGUGGGGGACAACAGUUGGAAACGACUGCUAAUACCGCAUAAUGUAUUCUGACCGCAUGAUCGGAAUACCAAAGAUUUAUUGCUGAAAGAUGGCCUCGCGUCUGAUUAGAUAGUUGGUGAGGUAACGGCCCACCAAGUCGACGAUCAGUAGCCGGACUGAGAGGUUGAACGGCCACAUUGGGACUGAGAUACGGCCCAG
rnacentral:rRNA from 1 species